ACAGUAGGUUCAUUCCCCCCACCACAUCGAACUGUGCGCGCGCUGCGCGGUCGGUCGCUCCCCUCCUCUGUCCGCGAUCUCGGCUGGCCGCCUGGGCUUGGCCCUCGCCACCGCUCCCGUCUCCGGUUCCGGCGGCCGAGCCAGGUUUGCUCGGGUCUUCGUGCCAGCGACGAUGAAGGACAAGCGUGGGCUCGAGGACGCCGGCGACGGGCGCCCUGAUGCCAAGAGGCCGCGGCCUCCGGCUCUGGCCAGGUAAGCAAAGGAAUCAAGCCCAGCAUGGUUGGUUAAAGGGUGUAAUACUGUAGUUCAGUGAUUGCGUGCUCAGCCAACACAAGUUCAAGUUCUAUUCAAUAUGGAUUUGGGUGCCUGUUUCUUCUUAAUGUAAAGUCACUUGAUUUUUCCAAGUUUGGUGUACGUUUCCAGGAAGUAUGUAAAAAUCUCAAGUGAAAUUAGAGCAUGGUAGCCUAUGCAAACAUACAAUGUUGGUGAGUAUGAGUCUAGAUGGAUUCAGGGACACAUGGAUUUCUGUAGUACAGUAAGUAGGAAUAGAUUUAUCUGUGUAAUAAUCAGUGUUAUAGUUCAGUUACAU
rnacentral:lncRNA from 7 species